rnacentral:misc_RNA from 1 species
GUCGUAACAAGGUUUCCGUAGGUGAACCUGCGGAAGGAUCAUUAAAAAAUAUCGCUCGAUUGAGAGUGAUUUAAUAAUCAUCCUACCCUUUGUGAAUUUGUUGUUUGUAAUAAUUUUUUUGAUUUUAAAAAAAAAUUAUUUAUGGUUUUGUCUAUCCCUAAAAUUGGUUUGUUGUGAAAUGAAUCAAAUUUAGGGAAUAGGCUUUCAUAAAUAAGUUUUUUUAAAGUCUUAAAGACCUUUUUAAAAUUAAACUUUUGUAUUCAUUUGUCUAAAUUUUUUUAAUAAUUAAAAACAACUUUUGACAAUGGAUCUCUUGGUUCUCGCAACGAUGAAGAACGCAGCAAAAUGCGAUAAGUAAUGUGAAUUGCAGAAUACGUGAAUCAUCAAAUCUUCGAACGCAUAUUGCACUUUUUUAGUUUACUAAAAAAGUAUGUCUGUUUGAGUAUCAGUAAAAUAUUCUCAUAAAACAUUUUUGUUUUUAUGGUUAUGAGUGUUUUACAACGAUAAACAAGUUGUUUCACUUUAAAUUCAUUUUAAUUUAAGACCAUUUUGGUUUUAAUAAAAAAUUGGAUAAAAUUUUCCCGUAAAAAGGAAUAAACUUUUCAGUUUUAGUUACAAAAAUCGGUCCGAUUUAAAAGGAAAUUUAUAUUAAAUAACUUGAUCUCAAAUCAGAUAAGAGUACCGCUGAACUUAAGCAUAUCAAUAAGCGGAGGAAAAGAAACUAACAAGGAUUCCCUUAGUAACGGCGAGUGAAGCGGGAAGAGCUCAAAUUUGAAAUCUUCAAGGUCUACCUUGACGAAUUGUAGUUUAAAGAAGUGUUUCUGUUAGAUGGGUAGCAAAAGUUCCUUGGAUGGGACAUCAUAGAGGGUGAGAAUCCCGUAUUUGGUUAUUCAUUCUAGCUUUGUGAUACACUUUCAAAGAGUCGGAUUGUUUGGGAAUGCAGUCCAAAUGGGUGGUAAAUUUCAUCUAAAGCUAAAUAUUGGCGAGAGACCGAUAGCGAACAAGUACCGUGAGGGAAAGAUGAAAAGAACUUGAAAAGAGAGUUAAACAGUACGUGAAAUUGUCAAAAGGGAAGCGUUUGACACCAGUGUUGUUUUCCGAAAAUCAAUUACGAAUGGCUUGAUUUUGUGUUGUAUUGACCUUAUCAGCUUUCUUCACUUUUUUCGAGUCUUUCUUAAUGCACUUUUCGGUUAACAAGUAAACAUCAAUUUCUUUUGUUGUAAAAGAGUAUUCGGAAGGUGGCUUUCUUUUCGGAGAAAGUGUUUAUAGCCUAUACUUCUACAAUCGGAGAGAUUGAGGUCUGCAGCGUAGAUCCUUCGGGUUAGAUACAUUUGUGCUAAGUUGUGCUUUCAUAGACAACUUGUUGACUAUGUUUAGUCAUGCGGCUUACUCGCUUAUGCUAUUUUACCUACGCUUAGGAUGUUGAC